AGUAAAUGGUUAAAGUAAAAGAAGAUUUCGCCGCCAUUUUGUGUGGUUGGUAAAAUGUGGUUUGUGUCCAAAUAAUUAGACGACACCAAACGCAAAGCCUAUCCCAAGGCAAUGCCCCAUUUGCGUGGGAAAGGGCAAGACGAAUAUGUACCUCCGGGUAACAGACCACGUUUGCUGGGUGCAAGCGCUGACGGCAGACCCCAUGAAGCCGUUGAUGUCAGAGGCACGUGCUAAGACCGGGCGGAAAGUGAAGAAGACAAAGCCGAGGAAUUACUACUCUUGCUCGCUGUGCGACCGAUUGGUGAUUGACCGGCUGCGUCAUCUAGAACAGGAGCACAAAAUGGAGGCUGGGACAUUCAAUUUCGUUUACACAAGAGGGCCGUUUCCGGAAAGUCGCGAAAACUUCAGGAAAGGUGACCAGCAGACUCGCCACUCAUGAUGACUCGGCAUAGGAGGAUGAGAAGGUGGAGGAUGAGGAGGAGGAGGAAGAGGACUUUUCGUUCCUAACGCGGAAAUACUGCCUGAGCCUGGAACCCAAUGUAAGGGUGAUGCAUGGUCGGAGAAGCUGCAAUUUCAAUCGUUGACUCAUAUGUAGACUACAUGUACCUGCGGAGCAGGCCAGGUGGGUUGGCAAACGAGGCGAAAACACAAGAGGUCAACAUGAAGAUCAACCGGUUCCUGGCCCUGUCUGGCUACUUGGAAGGAGCGGUGUUGAGUGACGUGCUGUUGUGGAAGGGCCAUAUGGAGGUCCACGACAGUUCCUCAACACCACUCACCAGCUGAAGACGGUGCGGUCUGCACUAACGGCAAUCAAGGACUUCCUGAAGUGGUGCGAGGGAAUGGUCUAGCGGACGCCCGCGCAUUGAACAAUGCCGAUCUCCCUCUCACAGGCUGCCUGACCUCAACCCGCCUGGAUAUGAGCCGUCGUGAGGUUGUUCGGAGGGUAGAGGAGAGUUCGGCCAUCCUGACGGACGCAGACCUGGAAAGCCACUUCACUGAGAGUGAGCAUGUAGUGAAAACGAUCAAGCUGUGCCAGGAGACCCCGCUGGCCCACCUGAAAGAUAUUCCGGGAAUAAUCAUUAAACUGAUAGCGCUCUAUAACGCCUCCUGAACCGCCAAGUAUACAAACCGG